rfam:Sulfitobacter mediterraneus strain 1FIGIMAR09 PM02_001, whole genome shotgun sequence.
CGCCCGAGGGCGCGUCGCUUCAUACCUCCCUGUUGGACUUGGCCGAGCGUUAUGCUCGGCCUUUUUU